AAAGGAAAAAAAUAACUCCGCAU
rnacentral:piRNA from 1 species